rnacentral:rRNA from 1 species
AUUUUAAUUGGGGCGAUUAAGGAACACCCAAAAGCUUCCUGAUUUAUUAUAGCGAANAAUAUUCUAUGGAUUAAAUCGAUCCAGCAAUGCUGAUCAACAAAACNAGUUACCACAGGGAUAACAGCAUAAUUCUUUUUGAGAGCUCAUAUCGAAAAAAGAGAUUGUGACCUCGAUGUUGGACUAGGGUAACCGGAAGGUGCAGCCGCUUUCCCGCUUGGUCUGUUCGACCAAUAAUUCCCUACGU